rnacentral:rRNA from 1 species
CAGCAGCCGCGGGAAUACGUAGGGUGCAAGCGUUAAUCGGAAUUACUGGGCGUAAAGCGUGCGCGGGCGGUUAUAUAAGUCAGAUGUGAAAUCCCCGGGCUCAACCUGGGAACUGCAUUUGAGACUGUAUGGCUAGAGUGUGUCAGAGGGGGGUAGAAUUCCACGUGUAGCAGUGAAAUGCGUAGAUAUGUGGAGGAAUACCGAUGGCGAAGGCAGCCCCCUGGGAUAACACUGACGCUCAUGCACGAAAGCGUGGGGAGCAAACAGGAUUAGAUACCCCCGUAGUCCCUGUCUCUUAUAC